CUCCUACGGGAGGCAGCAGUGGGGAAUAUUGCACAAUGGGCGCGACUGCAUGCAGCGACGCCGCGUGAGGGAUGGAGGCCUUCGGGUUGUGAACCUCUUUCGCCAGUGAAGAAGGUCCUACUCUUUGUGGUGGGGUUGACGGUAGCUGGGUUAAUGGAAGCGCCGGCUAACUACGUGCCAGCAGCCGCGGUAAUACGUAGGGCGCGAGCGUUGUCCGGAAUUAUUGGGCGUAAAGGGCUUGUAGGCGGCUGGUCGCGUCUGCCGUGAAAUCCUCUGGCUCAGCUGGGGGCGUGCGGUGGGUACGGGCUGGCUUGAGUGCGGUAGGGGAGACUGGAACUCCUGGUGUAGCGGUGGAAUGCGCAGAUAUCAGGAGGAACACCGGUGGCGAAGGCGGGUCUCUGGGCCGUUACUGACGCUGAGGAGCGAAAGCGUGGGGAGCGAACAGGAUUAGAUACCCUGGUAGUCCACGCUGUAAACGUUGGGCACUAGGUGUGGGGGGCCUUUUCCGGGUUUUCCGCGCCGUAGCUAACGCAUUAAGUGCCCCGCCUGGGGAGUACGGCCGCAAGGCUAAAACUCAAAGGAAUUGACGGGGGCCCGCACAAGCGGCGGAGCAUGCGGAUUAAUUCGAUGCAACGCGAAGAACCUUACCAAGGCUUGACAUGGGCUGGAUUGCUUCGGAGACGGGGUUUCCCUUUUUUGGGCUGGUUCACAGGUGGUGCAUGGUUGUCGUCAGCUCGUGUCGUGAGAUGUUGGGUUAAGUCCCGCAACGAGCGCAACCCUUGUCUCGUGUUGCCAGCACGUUGUGGUGGGGACUCGCGGGAGACUGCCGGGGUUAACUCGGAGGAAGGUGGGGAUGACGUCAAAUCAUCAUGCCCCUUAUGUCUUGGGCUUCACGCAUGCUACAAUGGCCGGUACAGUGGGUUGCGAUGCUGUGAGGCGGAGCGAAUCCCUGAAAGCCGGUCUCAGUUCGGAUCGGUGUCUGCAACUCGACACCGUGAAGUUGGAGUCGCUAGUAAUCGCAGAUCAGCAGCGCUGCGGUGAAUACGUUCUCGGGCCUUGUACACACCGC
rnacentral:rRNA from 1 species